GAACUUCCUGAGUCACACGCCAGCCAGGUCCACUGGACGAUCCCAGCAUGCCCUGAACACACUGCAGUUGUGCUGUACACAGCACACCUUCACCCACCACCACCACGCCCACUUACAUAACACACUGAAGAGUGGACCUUCUGGCUUUGGGGACUACAGGGACCAGACAAACUCAAGGCAGAUCUGACGAUAUGUUCAUUUCUCCGAAAAGUUUUGGCUCCGGACCAGAGGUUCUUGACCUUCCUAAUGCUGCAACCCUUUAAUACAAACCAUUCGAUGCUGCUCAUAUUUCUGAAACCAAGAACGUUGGAAGAAUUUCUGCCCUCGGGCACUCUCAGUUUUUUUGUGUCCAGAUUGGCCUUCUUCCCAACUCACCAGAAACAUCAGAGAAUGAAGCUGUCUGUGGAAGGUUACCAACAAACUGGACACAAAUUCGCUGGACAUAUGAUGGAUAGAAAGAAAGGUCAAGAGGGUCCAAGCUUGGUCAGCCUCUCCAGCUCGACAGCAAAAGAAAAAACUUAAAAUCUCUUCUCGUAUACUGUAGGCUUGAAUUCAAGGCAUUUUUUUUUUGGUCUGGUGGCCUUUGACCUUUCCCCUGAAUGGAACGGUCACUGGGCAAGGCCAGGCUCUCAUUUGGCAGGGAGGACACACUGCUCUUGAGCUCUGCUCUUUCUCCAACAUAAGAUCCCAGAAACAUUAUGUUGACUGAGAUGGACCACUCUACUAGGGUAUAGGGCGCUCUCAGUGGCACUAACUGGCCCUGCCCUUGUUAGGAAGGGUGGUGAUGGGGUGAUGUGUGUUCAUAAGGAGACAUUACA